rnacentral:rRNA from 1 species
UGUUACCGUGAAAAAAUUAGAGUGUUCAAAGCAGGCAGAUCCAAUUUUUUGCCACCGAAUACAUUAGCAUGGGAUAAUGGAAUAGGACCCUGUCCUCCUAUUUUCAGUUGGUUUUGGCAGCGCGAGGACUAGGGUAAUGAUUAAUAGGGAUAGUUGGGGGCAUUAAUAUUUAAUUGUCAGAGGGGAAAUUAUUGGAUUUAUGAAAGAUUAAUUUAUGUGAAAGCAUGUGUCAAGGAUGUUUUCAUUAAUCAAGAAAGAAAGUUAGGGGAUGGAAGAAGAUCAGAUACCGUCGUAGUUUUUACCAUAAACGAUGCCGACCAGCGAUUAGGAGACGUUGAAUACAAAACACCACCAUCGGUGCGGUCGUCCUUGGCGGUUGGUCUUCAAAAGCCAGCGGCGGGGGCGGCUUAGCCCGGUGGCACCGGUGAAUGACUCCC